rnacentral:rRNA from 1 species
AACGAACGCUGGCGGCAGGCCUAACACAUGCAAGUCGAACGCCCUAGCAAUAGGGAGUGGCAGACGGGUGAGUAACACGUGGGAACCUUCCCUAUAGUACGGAAUAGCCCAGGGAAACUUGGAGUAAUACCGUAUACGCCCGAAAGGGGAAAGAUUUAUCGCUAUAGGAUGGGCCCGCGUAGGAUUAGCUAGUUGGUGAGGUAAUGGCUCACCAAGGCGACGAUCCUUAGCUGGUCUGAGAGGACGACCAGCCACACUGGGACUGAGACACGGCCCAGACUCCUACGGGAGGCAGCAGUGGGGAAUAUUGGACAAUGGGCGCAAGCCUGAUCCAGCCAUGCCGCGUGAGUGAUGAAGGCCUUAGGGUUGUAAAGCUCUUUUGGCGGGGACGAUAAUGACGGUACCCGCAGAAUAAGUCCCGGCUAACUUCGUGCCAGCCGCCGCCGUAAAAC